rnacentral:rRNA from 1 species
GGAAUAUUGCGCAAUGGACGAAAGUCUGACGCAGCGACGCCGCGUGGAGGAUGACGGUUUUCGGAUUGUAAACUCCUGGUAAGUGGGAAGAAAACCUUAUCUCUAAGAUAGAUAUGGCCUGACGGUACCAAUCGAGACAGCACCGGCUAACUUCGUGCCAGCAGCCGUGGUAAUACGAGGGGUGCAAACGUUAUUGGGAUUAACUGGGCGUAAAGGGUGCGUAGACGGCAUAUUAAGUUCGUUGUUAAAUCUUCCGGCCUAACUGGAAGCUCGCGAUGGAAACUGAUAUGCUCGAGGAUGGAAGAGAGAAGCGGAAUUCUCGGAGUAGCGGUAAAAUGCGUAGAUCUCGAGAGGAACACCGAUGGCGAAGGCAGCUUCUUGGUCCACUCCUGACGUUGAGGCACGAAAGCAUGGGUAGCAAAC